rnacentral:rRNA from 1 species
CCUACGGGUGGCAGCAGUGAGGAAUAUUGGUCAAUGGGCGGAAGCCUGAACCAGCCAAGUAGCGUGCGGGAUGAAGGCCCUACGGGUCGUAAACCGCUUUUACACGGGGAUAACACCCUCCACGUGUGCAUGUUUGCAGGUACCGUACGAAUAAGGGCCGGCUAAUUCCGUGCCAGCAGCCGCGGUAAUACGGAGGUCCCGAGCGUUAUCCGGAUUAAUUGGGCUUAAAGGGGGCGUAGGCGGGUGUUAAAGUCAGCUGUAAAAUCGCGCGGCUCAACCGCGCAGCGCAGUUGAAACUGGCCGUCUUGAGUACACAACAGGCAGGCGGAAUUCGUGGUGUAGCGGUGAAAUGCUUAGAUAUCACGAAGAACCCCGAUUGCGAAGGCAGCCUGCCGGGGUGCGACUGACGCUGAGGCUCGAAGGUGCGGGUAUCAAACAGGAUUAGAUACCCCGGUAGUC